CAGUGCCAUGGUCGCCUGCAAUAAAAGCUAAUCAAUAAGACAAAAGGCGCAGAAAUCUGCGCCUUUUUU
rnacentral:sRNA from 1 species